rnacentral:rRNA from 1 species
UACGGAGGGGGCUAGCGUUGUUCGGAAUUACUGGGCGUAAAGCGCACGUAGGCGGCUUUGCAAGUCAGAGGUGAAAGCCCGGGGGCUCAACCCCGGAAUAGCCUUUGAGACUGCAUCGCUUGAACAUCGGAGAGGUAAGUGGAAUUCCGAGUGUAGAGGUGAAAUUCGUAGAUAUUCGGAAGAACACCAGUGGCGAAGGCGACUUACUGGACGAUUGUUGACGCUGAGGUGCGAAAGCGUGGGGAGCAAACAGG